GAUGGAGCGGUUGGACCUUGACAGACCCGACGUGACUUGGGCUGGGGAGGGCCCCUUGCGAGCCGGAGUCGCCGGGUAUCUGCGGGCGCGCCCCGGACCCCUUCGUGCCCAGCUCAGCGCCCUGGGGAGGAGCUCCGGGCACUGCUUCUUGGCGAAGAACGCGCUGCUGGCUCCCCGGGGCUCGAUAGCACAGCUACAGCCCGCGAGGUGCGACACAAAGUUACCCUGGGUUCGAAGGACAGCCGAAGAGAAGUGCAAGGAGGUGCCCUUCUGCAGCACCGGGCAGAACGCCAGGAACUCCUAGACGGGAAACUUUCCCUACUGAAGCUACAAACCAGUCAUGCGACUUGGCCGGGUGUUGGGGAACAGUUUCUAAACACCGGAGUGAGCAGGCCGGGGUCAGAUGAAGAAGGCCUCCUUGGAGAGGGGCUAGAACAGGCUGGCAGGCGUUUCGUAGAAGCCUCCACGGGAAGGGUUUCAAAAGAAGACACCCAGUCGCUGUAUCCCACGCCACUCUUUCCAGAAACUACUCGUACUCUUCGGAGGAUCGCUAACACCUGCCCAGCUUUACAGUCCACCAUUCUCUAUCUGGUGACUCCAUCGGAAGCUGGCUGGGUGGAUGGAUUUGGGCCCAGCAGCCUGAGAUGGAGUCCCAGUUCCAACUGUUCACUAGCUCUGUGUCCAAAGGCAAAAUAACUUAGCCACUGUCAUUUUUCUUACCCUAAAAUGUAGAAAACAGCGCUAUUUCAAUUAACUGUUGAGAGCAAUUAAAUGGGACAGCUUAUGUAAAAUGUUUAGAAUGUUUCCAGUUCCUCAGUGAGAGCUAUCAUCAUGACAGUUAGCUAUCACAGCCACCGUCAUACUUUAUCAUGAUGAACUCAAAGAAGAAAAGUCAUCACUAUGGUCUAAAACAGGCCUAACUCAGUCUUCCUGCGGAGUGUGGGAAUUGCUAUGCAAGUCCCUUUCCACCUACCAAAUAAGCAGAACACUUUGUAGAGCCAACCCACUUCUCGCGUCUUAUGUACUGUGUAUCUGUUUUGGUCCUACUAUGUGCUUAUCAUUGAUCUAACCAUAAAGAAGGCAACAGGCUCGUGGAAAGUGAACAUGACCCUGGAGAAUUUUGCAAUAUAUUAAGUUUCUAAAAUGUCCUGGAUCUUGGCUUCUGUGACAUUCAUACCGAGACUUCAUUAUAUGGAUCUUUGGUCAUUGCCAGAUAUUACAAGGAAAGUCAUCUUUUUGCUGCCGCAUUGACUGUCAUUUCAGAUAUUUGCGAUUGAAAUCCAGCAAGGACCUGCCUUGCUUGUUCCAUCUCCUUAUUGAAUCUAUAGAUGUCCCAAAGAGCUAUAGAGAAAAAUUCUUACAGCACAGCAUGCCUGGUCAGUACCAUGUUCCUUUUUCCUCUGAUGCUGUAGCAAUCGUGGCCCCUCUUCCCAGCCCCUCAAGAGGUGUAUGCACAAAGAUUCCCAUUUUCUGUACCCUCGUUACACUUGCCAUGGAUGCAUAUUGUUCCCUCAAGUGAGCAUAUUGUAAAAAUUUGAGUUCAGAAAGAGUAAGUUCACCAUGUGCUUGCCAUCAGUCUCAGAUCUUAUAAACGUCAAUAUUUCAGAAAUAGUCUUUAUAAAACAUUGAGGUCAGCACUGUCAUGAUCCCUACUUAAUGAGUGAAGAAAUUGAGGCUCAGAGAGUGACCUGGUUUAUCAGUUUUAUACCAGCAGUAAUCAGUAUCUCUGAGACUGGAUCCAACAGUCUGGCUCAACCCCCAAUGUCAAUGAUUACACUGGAUUUGGGAUUAGGAUUAAGAUGCUCUGGAUGCUCGCAUUUCCCAUAUCUAUAUUUUGCAGAAAGUCCCUGAUCAUUUCUAAGCCUUAGUUCCUCAUCUGUUACAAAGGGGAAUUUCUGAUCCAUAAGGUCAUUGUCAGGAUCCAAUAAAGUAAUGAGAGUCAAAUCUAGAUAUAAACCAGGGAAUGUUGUCAAAACAUCCAGGACUACCUUUAUUAUUGUCCUGCUCUCUUACUGUCUAUUACUUCCUGGUCUUGUCUGAUCUUUUGUUGCCUCUUACUUUCUGGUCUUUUCUAAAAAGCCUCUUAUCUUUCAGCACAAUUCUCCUUGGCUCACCCAGACUUAAACAACAAUAAAAACUUCUCAUGUUCAAUAUUGCUUGAAUGCUUACUACGUACCCUAUUCUGUGUAAAAACUAUGCACCAUUAUAUCACUUAAUACUAAGAAGAAUUAUUUUACUGAGCUGUUGUUACUCUGACUUUAAAAUAAGGCAGCUCAGAGAUGUGUCCCAAGGUCAGCCAGCUGUGAAGAGGUCCAGCUGAGAUUGAAAGCUAUAUUCAUCUGAUGACAGCACUGGGGCUGUCAAUUGCUUCCUGAUGGGUCUUAAACUGUAGCAUAUAAAGGAAUCCCCCCAAAUAGCUGAUUGCAAUGCCUCUGUUCUCCAGCCUUUAUGAUGGAGUCAUUGUGUUUCAGGGGACAGGGUGUAGUAUCAGAAUCUUAUUUUAAAAAAAUAAUUAAUGGAC
rnacentral:lncRNA from 1 species